GUUCUCACAACCCAUUAACUUACAGCUGGAAAGUGAAAAGGCCAAGAGACAUGUAAAACCUCUGUGUGAGUCCGCCUGUGCAUGUGUGUAUAAGCAACUUCUAGGUAGAGGUGCCUGCUCCAAAGGAGAAACCCUGGCUCACAGUGAUAACCCUUGCUCUUGAGAUGGGAUGCCUUAGCAGAUAAGGAUCCAGAUCCUGAAUUGGAUCACACCUAGCUGCACAGCCCUGUCUCAGAGAAGUGUGAGCACUAAGAAGGUGUGAAGGGUGAGAAAGAGGAAAAGAGGAGCUACUGCUCUUGGGUUUAGAUUCUGAAAGUUAAAGAGCAACUCAGUUGCUCUUAUAAGAGAUAGCUUUUAAUUUGGACCCACAGUCUGUUGAUUUAAAUGCUCAGCUCCAGAUCUCUCAGUUUUACUGGUAAUAGCCUGGCCAUUCAGAGAAGCUGUAUCCCACUAGUAUGGGAAAACACAGUGUUGAUUGAUAUGGUGUGCCACUAAACACAGUUCCGCUGAGGGCUGUGACUCAGAUGUAUUGCAUUCAGUUGCACACUUACAUUCUCAGAGCAUGACCUGUGUAACUUAUAUGUGACAGAUGGGAGUACUCCUCAGAAGGUGCCCCCCUAGGCCCUUGCACAGACAUGGCUUUUCUUUCCCGGGCAGCAGGGAGGUAUUUAGUGUUAAAGCCCUAUUGAAAUUCUCAAAAGUGACUUUCCACUGGGUGGCCAUUUUAGUGGCAGUGCUUUUCUUUAGGACUUGAGGCAUUG